UCUUCUUCAGACCAUUCACUCAUCCACCCAUUAAACUGUCUAUCAACAUCCAUUAAACUCUCUGUCUAUCAACAUUAAUUAGAGUCUACAUUCAACUUUUAAAUGAUUUACUGUCUCAGGCUUUAAGCACAGUCUGGCUCUCUUAAGACUAGCCAGUUAAAUUGAUCAACUACUCUCAGAGAGCUGUAUCAGUGUCUCUCUUAUAAAAUCAAGCACCUUGAUUAUCAAUGCAGACUGCAUGGUGCUUGAUUAAUACACCUGUGCAGGGACCUGAUGAAACCUAAGUUAUUCACUUCGUCUUCGACCUGCUAGAAGCUACUCGCUGACUACACUUCAUUCGUCUUGCUACUGAGUGGUGUCGUCGCUACUGUGCCUUCAAGGACUCCGACCAGAAGUUGCUGUGACUCUUCAUAUUACCUCCAAAAAAACAAUAGUCUUUCUAAAGACUCAAUCACCAUCCUCCAUCACCACCUCCACUUGUGGUGUGGCAGUUUUUGCCAAAGAAAAAUAAUCUCAAGACUCAUUCUGUCUUUUGCGGUGCUGCAGACUUUUCAGGCUUGUUCCAGACCAGCUCUGCCAGAGUGGUGUCUCUGUCACGUGUGACACUGUGCCUGUCUGUCUGCACACCCUGCACUGCACUCAUAUACAACAGAACCCACUAACGCCUACCUGCAAACAUAUCUACGACAAGAACCGAACACUUCCUGAGAACAUAUUUGACUGCACAUACUCUACUCUGUACAUACUCUACUCUGUGCCAUUUUCAGACUAAAUAUUCCUUUGAAACUAACUGAAUACUCCUUUGAGACUUGAAUACUUUGAGAUUUGAUUACUCCUUUGAGACUUGAAUACUUAUUUGAGACUUGAAUACUUUGAGAUUUGAAUACUUUAAGAUUUGAUUACUGCUUUGAGACUUGAAUACUUUGAGAUUUGAAUACUUAUUUGAGACUUGAAUACUUUGAGAUUUGAUUACUCUUUUCAGACUUGAAUACUCAUUUGAAACUGAAUACUGUGAAUACUACUUUGAAUUAUACUGACACUCUGAAUCCCACUGUGAACCAGCAGCAUCCUGUAACAUACAGUACCUGCAAACAUAUUUCAGACAGUAAUUUACCACUUUCUGAGAGCACAUACUCUGAACUAUAUAAAGAUUCUGAAACAUACUAAGAAUUACCUGUGAACUAUUCGGAUAGAGAACUAUUACUGUGAACUUUACAAACCUCAACCAUUUAUAUAUU